rnacentral:rRNA from 1 species
AAUGGACGAAAGUCUGAUCCAGCUAUGCCGCGUGCAGGAUGACGGCCUAUGGGUUGUAAACUGCUUUUAUACAGGAAGAAAAAUCCGACGUGUCGGAUCUUGACGGUACUGUAAGAAUAAGGAUCGGCUAACUCCGUGCCAGCAGCCGCGGUAAUACGGAGGAUCCAAGCGUUAUCCGGAAUCAUUGGGUUUAAAGGGUCCGCAGGCGGUUUUUUAAGUCAGAGGUGAAAUCCUACAGCUCAACUGUAGAAUUGCCUUUGAUACUGAAAGACUUGAGUUAUUGUGAAGUGGUUAGAAUGUGUGGUGUAGCGGUGAAAUGCAUAGAUAUCACACAGAAUACCAAUUGCGAAGGCAGAUCACUAACAAUUAACUGACGCUCAGGGACGAAAGCGUGGGUAGCGAACAGGAUU